GGAUGUUUCAAGAGGUAAGGCCAUUGGCUAUACCAACUGUACCAUUGCAGGUGAGUUAGGAGAGCACCAGAAUAGGAGAAUAGCCAUAGCUACAUUAAUGACAGUUGUGUAACGGUUGAUCUGCAUGAUAGAAUGCCCAAGGGUGGAACAACCCAGCAUUUCUCUCUGUCAGUUAUUCCUCUGAGGCCUCCGUUCAGCGCAUAACGAUUGCCAUGUCAAAAAUACUGUGGCUGCAGGCCUGUGCUGAGAGCCCCGAUCAGCCUGUUCUGGUCGGUCCAUAGCCCCUGUUGGAACCUGAAGCCACAUUGCCAACUGCCCACCUCGGGAUGUGUCGGUGAUUCGAAUAGGGUACCUCCAGGUCAGAAGAUCCAGGUGCUUUGGCCUCAUUUCUGCACUGGGUGUCUCUCUCCGAGAUUGUGUCCAGCUGCUCCCAUAUCUCUUGAUGGUCGUCAGGUAGACCUGCUGUGAUCCUUGCAGGAUGUUGCAUGGGUUGGAAGCAGGGGCUUACCUUGUCCUACUUAUGUUCCCUCUUCGGGUUCACCUCAUCCUCCAUGGAGGUGCAUAGACCUUGGGCCUUGUGUCGGUUCACCUGGCACCCUGGAGGCGGUCUCCGGUGUCUGGAGUGUAGCCAGAGUGGGAGUCAGCCCGGUAGGUGUCGGAGGAUGUUGCCUCCUCUGGAGCUUAGCACAAAAGUCGUCAAACAGUUGGUCCAGUUUGUCCAAGGUGGAGGACGCUUGGUAUCCAGUGUCGGGUAAGUAGCUGCCAUCCGCCAUUACACGUGGGGUGCUUCUUUUGC